GCGUUUAAAUUUCCGUCACGAUUUCAAACCCUUAAUAUUUUCCACUGAUCGCUGACUAAACUAAAUGACUUCAUAUAUGAAGAAUGUGUGAGUCGCGUCGCGAAAACUUAUUUAAAGCAGUCGCCAGUAAAUCGUUUGUCUAGUCAACUCUGCAAGUCGUGAAGUUCAAAUCGUAGUCGAAAAGCAAACUAUUAAAAACAAAAUGGUGAAAUUGAAGGCCGUCAUUAAAAUAGCUUUGACGUUUGUUGCUGCCGUUAUGUUCUUUAGCGUAAGUGCUUUUGCCAUAAAUCGGAAAGCAUUGCUCACGGAUGGAAAAUGAAGCCGAAGUGAUUGUAAACUAAACCGAUAUUCGUUGAUAGACGACUGCAAUAAACGAAGGUUAUGAGAAAUACACAUAAAUAUACAGUAUCAUACUUAUAAAUAUACUUACAUAUAUACAUACA